GAUGAAGAACGUAGCGAAAUGCGAUAAGUAAUGUGAAUUGCAGAAUUCAGUGAAUCAUCGAAUCUUUGAACGCACAUUGCGCCCGCCAGUAUUCUGGCGGGCAUGCCUGUCCGAGCGUCAUUUCAACCCUCGAACCCCUCCGGGGGGUCGGCGUUGGGGAUCGGCCCUGCCUCUUGGCGGUGGCCGUCUCCGAAAUACAGUGGCGGUCUCGCCGCAGCCUCUCCUGCGCAGUAGUUCGCACACUCGCAUCGGGAGCGCGGCGCGUCCACAGCCGUUAAACACCCAACUUCUGAAAUGUUGACCUCGGAUCAGGUAGGAAUACCCGCUGAACUUAAGCAUAUCAAUAAGCGGAGGA
rnacentral:misc_RNA from 1 species